rnacentral:lncRNA from 1 species
UUUGUACCAAUGUCUAGCUUUUCCUGUUAAAGAGAACGGAAAGAGCUUCCAUUUAAGGGUUUCAUCAGACAUGCCUUCUAUGCGAAGGAGGUCACAGACUUGAUAAAACUCUCUUAGGUGUGUGUAUGGGUUUUCCUCACCUUCUCCAGAGAAAGGUUGUUUUUGAACAAAUUCUAUGUAUUCGGGAUCUAUCUCAAAACUAGAUGCUAUGAUAGGCUUUGAAGAUUUUGGUGGUUGGAGAUGUGUGCCCGUAGGUCUAUGAAAUUCAUAGAUAGACAUGUUUGAAUUCAUGAUAGACCAGAGAUCAAGGAUUAGAUAAUAAGAAAGAAUAGCAGAGAUGAGGCAAGGGAUAAAAGGAAAAUAUUAUUUUUUUUAUUUUUUAGAAAAUGAUUAAGCUAGUUCGUAGUCAACUCAGCAACCGUCUCCCCGGCAACGGCGCCAAAAAUGCUUGUUGACACUUGCUAACACCACUUGAAUACUAGGUUGUCAUCCCCAGCAUGGCACUAGAGUGUACUAUGGUAUUUAUACGCACACAGAUAAAUCCGCAAGCGCACGGAUACCGUUGUAGCUUUUACCCGGUCAAAGGUUUUAUCGUAUCCACAGGGAAACGGGAGAACUGAUCUACGCUCUAACUUAACCUAGAUAGAUAGGUAGGUGUAAAUAGGAAAGAUGAUAGAAUUGAAUAAGAACAAUAUUAAAGGUAAGAUAACAAUGGGUGAUAAUAUGGGAAUAGAGAGUAGAGCAAUCUAGUAUAUGGGUGAUGGUUGGAGAAUACAGAUGAUAACUAUGGUUUCUCUACUUCAAAGGGGUAUGUCUAUGUCUAGGACGGACCACGUGAUAAGAAUACACCACAAAGGAUGCUUAUCCAUAGGCCGAUAAACCCUACCCGUCCUGCUAACAAGAGGUGGACUACAGGGGACCAACGUAACUGUCACCUACGCGGCCUACCACACGAUCCAGCUAGACAGGGAAUAUCCACAAGUAAUCUAGGUCUAAGCACCACGCUUACACCUAUACUACAACUCUCACCUAUAGCGUCCUAUAGAUUAAAGUACUUAAAAGAGUUGUGAACCAGAACAUACAUGAUUACUAAUUGCAUAAUGAAUUAGAAGUAGAUUACCAGAGUCAACCCAU